CACAUCGAACCCUGCCCCAAAAGCUUUUUUUUCGUUGGGAAGCUGGAUACAUCAGAAUCGAUCUCGGCAUGAAUAGAACUGCAUCACAUCGGAUUCUUCUUCAGCUACGGUUAACAAUAAUAUAAUAAUUACUUUCCGGCUUUGCAAGGGUAGGAACCCAUUCCUUGAUGGGUAUACACAUCAGGCCCUGACCCUUGGUGAUCAGCUGGACAACUGGCUAAUUUGUGACCGUUAGGAUCAACCUCGACGUGGACGGAUCACAUCUUCUUCUUUGACUUCUGUUAACAGUCAAAAAAAAAUUAAUCAAAUAUUAUUACGAACAAAUAUUAAUUUAUUCCCCGGGAGACAGCAGCCUAUUCCUUGAUGGGUAUACACAUCGGAAGUUCAUGAAAGUUCUAAAAACAGAAAUAAUUAUUUUAAAAUGUAUUAAUAUUGAAUUAUUUGUAUUAGUUGUUACUCGUAGUUAAUAUUGUAAUAAAACUCACGUCAGUUUCUUUCCAGUUUGGCAUACCCCUGAGGGCAGUAGCCCAUUCCUUGAUGGGUAUACACAUCGGGCCCUGAUCCCCAAAGGCGGAAAGAUAGCUGAACCAGUCUUUCAGGAUCGACAUCGGCGUUAGUGGAACCGCAUCACAUCGGCCUCUUCUUCUUCGUCUUCAGCUGAAAUUAACAUCAAUAAAAUAAUAGCCCAUUCCUUGAUGGGUAUACACAUCAGGCCCUGACCCCCAAAGGCGGAAAGAUACCUGAGCCAAGACCUUCAGGAUCGACAUCGGCGUUAGUGGAACUGCAUCAUAUCGGCGUCUUCUUCUUCGUCUUCAGCUGAGAUUAACAUCCAUAAAAUAAUUUGGCAUACCCCUGAGGGCAGUAGCCCAUUCCUUGAUGGGUAUACACAUCAGGCCCUGACCCCCAAAGGCGGAAAGAUAGCUGAGCUGAGACCUUCAGGAUCGACAUCGGCGUUAGUGGAACUGCAUCACAUCGGCCUCUUCUUCUUCGUCUUCAGCUGAAAUUAACAUCAAUAAAAUAAUUUCUUUCCAAUUUGGCAUACCCCUGAGGGCAGUAGCCCAUUCCUUGAUGGGUAUACACACCAGGCCCUGACCCCCAAAGGCGGAAAGAUACCUGAGCCAAGACCUUCAGGAUCGACAUCGGCGUUAGUGGAACUGCAUCAUAUCGGCGUCUUCUUCUUCGUCUUCAGCUGAGAUUAACAUCCAUAAAAUAAUUUGGCAUACCC